AUGUAGGCAAGGGAAGUCGGCAAAAU
rnacentral:ncRNA from 2 species